rnacentral:rRNA from 1 species
GAGGAUGCGACUGUUAUGAGAGUGGGACUAUUCCCUGUGAGUUGACGUAUCGAUGCUUGGGGAAUUUCUAACUAACACGUAUUCAAGGUGUCCAGGGGACUUGGAUUUUCUCGGUAAAUUGAGAAUAGACCUAGAUAGGUCAAGAUUUGUGGAAUGUGUUGUGGGCUAAAUCUACAGUGGUUUCUUGGAUUGGACUGUGGACGAUCAAGCUGUUGGUGAGGUAAUGGCCAUCUCAACCUAUAACCGGUACGUGCUGUGAAAUGAGAAUGACGGAGAUGGGCAAUGAGACCAGGUGCCGGGCCAUAUGGGGUGCACCACGGGAGAAACCUCUGCAAUAAGCGAAAACCUGACAGGGUUACUUUGACUGAUUUCCGCUAAGAUGAUCAUUUGGACCCUCUUGCAAUGGUGUUGAAACAGGAGUGGCCUAGUCUGGAGUCAACCGCCGCGGUAAUACCAGCACCGGAGAGUGGUCGGGAUGAUUACAGGGCCUAAAGCAUCAGUAGACGGUUAUUCAAGUCUUGCAUAAAAUACAUUCGCUCAACGGAUGGGCCUCGGAGGCUACUACAAGUAUAGGAGCCGGGAGAGGCAAUCGGUACCCAUUGGGUAGAGGUAAAAUCCUUAUAUUCUUUGAAGCACCCCAGUGGCGAAGUCGGCCAGCCAGCACGCGCUAUACGGUGAGGGAUGAAAGUCUGGCGGAACAAAGCACGUGAUUAGAUACCCUGGGUAGUCCCGACAUGUAAUCGAUGCAGACUCGAUGAUCAAUUAACCUCAUCCCACCACAGUCCUGCAGGGAACACGAUAACUAUGCUUCCUAUGGAGUACGGUCGCAAGACAUAAACAUAAAGGAAUUGGCGGGGGAGCAC